rnacentral:rRNA from 1 species
GGGGAUAACAUUUGGAAACAGAUGCUAAUACCGCAUAACAACGAAAGCCACAUGGCUUUUGUUUGAAAGAUGGCUUUGGCUAUCACUCUGGGAUGGACCUGCGGUGCAUUAGCUAGUUGGUAAGGUAACGGCUUACCAAGGCGAUGAUGCAUAGCCGAGUUGAGAGACUGAUCGGCCACAAUGGAACUGAGACACGGUCCAUACUCCUACGGGAGGCAGCAGUAGGGAAUCUUCCACAAUGGGCGCAAGCCUGAUGGAGCAACACCGCGUGAGUGAAGAAGGGUUUCGGCUCGUAAAGCUCUGUUGUUGGAGAAGAACGUGCGUGAGAGUAACUGUUCACGCAGUGACGGUAUCCAACCAGAGAGUCACGGCUAACUACGUGCCAGCAGCCGCGGUAAUACGUAGGUGGCAAGCGUUAUCCGGAUUUAUUGGGCGUAAAGCGAGCGCAGGCGGUUGCUUAGGUCUGAUGUGAAAGCCUUCGGCUUAACCGAAGAAGUGCAUCGGAAACCGGGCGACUUGAGUGCAGAAGAGGACAGUGGAACUCCAUGUGUAGCGGUGGAAUGCGUAGAUAUAUGGAAGAACACCAGUGGCGAAGGCGGCUGUCUGGUCUGCAACUGACGCUGAGGCUCGAAAGCAUGGGUAGCGAACAGGAUUAGAUACCCUGGUAGUCCAUGCCGUAAACG